GAUGAAGAACGCAGCGAAAUGCGAUAAGUAAUGUGAAUUGCAGAAUUCAGUGAAUCAUCGAAUCUUUGAACGCACAUUGCGCCCGCCAGUAUUCUGGCGGGCAUGCCUGUUCGAGCGUCAUUUCAACCAUCAAGCCCCCGGCUUGUGUUGGGGACCUGCGGCUGCCGCAGGCCCUGAAAAGCAGUGGCGGGCUCGCUGUCACACCGAGCGUAGUAGCAUACAUCUCGCUCUGGGCGUGCUGCGGGUUCCGGCCGUUAAACCACCUUCAUAACCCAAGGUUGACCUCGGAUCAGGUAGGAAGACCCGCUGAACUUAGGCAUAUCAAUAAGCGGAGGA
rnacentral:misc_RNA from 1 species